rnacentral:rRNA from 1 species
AGUGAACGCUGGCGGUAGGCCUAACACAUGCAAGUCGAACGGCAGCACAGAGGAGCUUGCUCCUUGGGUGGCGAGUGGCGGACGGGUGAGGAAUACAUCGGAAUCUACUCUGUCGUGGGGGACAACGUAGGGAAACUUACGCUAAUACCGCAUACGACCUACGGGUGAAAGCAGGGGACCUUCGGGCCUUGCGCGAUUGAAUGAGCCGAUGUCGGAUUAGCUAGUUGGCGGGGUAAAGGCCCACCGAGGCGACGAUCCGUAGCUGGUCUGAGAGGAUGAUCAGCCACACUGGAACUGAGACACGGUCCAGACUCCUACGGGAGGCAGCAGUGGGGAAUAUUGGACAAUGGGCGCAAGCCUGAUCCAGCCAUACCGCGUGGGUGAAGAAGGCCUUCGGGUUGUAAAGCCCUUUUGUUGGGAAAGAAAUCCAGCUGGCUAAUACCCGGUUGGGAUGACGGUACCCAAAGAAUAAGCACCGGCUAACUUCGUGCCAGCCGCCGCAGUAA